rnacentral:lncRNA from 1 species
CUAAAUACCAUUAGCAUCAUAAUGUACCAAGACAGUAUCACAUCAAUCCCCACAACAAGUCUUAUGGAUAGCACAACAAGUCUACUAUGGUUCUUGACAUAAUACUGGCUUGGUAUGAAGGAAGGCAUGGGUAGUAUUCUUAACACUUCACCAUUAUAACUUAAUAUAAUUUAAAUGAGGGAUUUAGAUCUCAUGCAUAUCCAAAAAUAUAUACAAAUACAUCAUAUGUAAUUAUAUUUAAUUCUAACUACC